CCAAGUUCAAGCGAUUCUCAUGCCUCAGCCUCCUUGCUGGGACUACAGGCAUGCACCCACCACACCCAGCUAAUUUUUUUUUGUAUUUUUAGUAGAGAUGGGGUUUCACCAUGUUGGUCAGGCUGGUCUUGAACUCCUGACCUCAAAUAAUGCGCACACCUUGGCCUCCCAAAGUGCUGGGAUUACAGACAUAAGCCACCUUGCCCAGCCCCAGGACUUUCCUUUCAUGUUAUCCUAGGAGUUCCCUUUACUUCUUUCUUGUGUAUAAUCUCCUAUUUCCUGGAUCCCAGAUCUUUCUUAGUUUCUUCCCUCAUUUCAUGAAUUUCUCCCUCCAGCAACUUCCCAAGCAAGAAUACAUGGAAGUAAAAUUUUCAGCUUCUCAUAUGUAAAACCGUUCUACUCUUACACGUGAUUGAUAGUUUGGCUGGAUAUAGAACUCUAGGUUAAAUACAGAUAUUGGCAGGGUAUAAAAAAAGAAAAACAAAAUGAAAAAGAACUCUAGGUUAAAAAUCAUUUUUCCUCAGGAAUUUGAAGGCAUUUCUCUAUAAUUUUCUAGCUUCCAGUGUUCCUGUUAAAAAUGUCAUUCUGAUUUAGCACGUGACCUGUUUUUCUUUCCUUUUUUGUUUGUUUGUUUCAGAGGGAAUUUUGGUCUGUUGCCAAGGCUGGAGUGCAGUGGUGCAAUCUCAGCUCGCUGCAACCUCCCUCUCCUGGGUUCAAAUGAUUCUCCUGUAGCAGCCUCCUGAGUAGCUGGGAUUACAGGCACACACCAUUACACCCAGGUAAAUUGAAGGCCAGAGACAGGAAUUUGCCUAAAUCACAGGUAAGACAUAUAUAAAACAGUAACAAGAUGAUUUAUUGAAAACCCACUACACAGAGCUCCAGGACACAAGGAGUACAAUAUCUGGUCUCUAUGUUCAAAAGAAGAGAGGAAAAUUGUGAAGGAACCAAUAUUUAUUGGGUAUCAAUUGCUUUCUAGCCCUUUCUAAACCUUUUCAUGUUACCUUUGCAAGAACUCUGAGGAAAUUGAAGCUCACAGAGGUCGAAUUGUGAGGUGAGAAUUUGAACCCAGGUUUUAAUUAUCUUUUCACUGUUACCUUUCCAAUGUAUGCGCGACCAUAGAAACUAGUGUUUUGAAGAAUUACACAAAAAUUGAAAAAAUGUAAAAAGAUGAUUGUGUGUCCUUUUAAAGACUUACUAGAGCACUUUUUUUUUUUGAUAUAGAGUCUCACUUUGUCAUCCAGUCUGGAGUGCAAUGGCAUGAUCUCAGCUCACUGCAGCCUCCGUCUCCCGGGUUCAAGCAAUUCUCCUGCCUCACCCUCUCUAGUAGCUGGGAUUACAGAGAUUUCAGGAGAGUGGUAUUCGGUUCUGUUGGCCUCUGACCGCAGGGAAAAGACAGAAGAAGAUGGAAGCAUGAAGGUUUUUGUCAAACACAUUGAUUACCUGGGGAACUCUUCUCUGACUUUUAAAUUGCAUGAAAUAUAACGGACACAAUGUCGUUGACAUACUUGAAACGGACUGUGAUAAUUAUAUUUUUUUAUAAGAAGAAUAUCAACAAUGGGGAAACAUUCCUAAUGCUGGAGCUCUAUGCUCGAACACUGGAUGUGAGCUCACAACUCAAGGAGAGGUUUGUGAAAUAUUGUGAAGAACAUGGGAUUGAUAAGGAAAACAUAUUUGACUUGACCAAAGUUGAUCGCUGUCUCCAGGCCUGAGAUGGGGGAGCAGCCUAGGACUCCAGUGCUGAGUGAAUGCUUCCUCACCUGGACUCUAGUAUCUUCCCUUCCUGGUCCCCAUGUCCUCUUAUGACAAGUUCUGUGACCUGAUUUCCAUCAUAUCACACAUGAAGACGUCAUCCCUGCAUCUUUAGGAUCUUCCCUAACUGCCUAAGAAGACUCAGAAAUUCACCAAGAAUCAAAGGUUUUCUUUGAAUUUCUGACUGUCUUUGUCACAGCCAGGGGAACUCUACAUGAAUAACACCUGACUCUACAUGAUCAAUAAAU